rnacentral:rRNA from 1 species
CAGUAGCCGCGGGAAUACGAAGGGGGCUAGCGUUGCUCGGAAUGACUGGGCGUAAAGGGCGCGUAGGCGGAUUGCGCAAUCAGAUGUGAAAUUCCUGGGCUUAACCUGGGGGCUGCAUUUGAGACGCGUAGUCUAGAGUGUGAAAGAGGGUCGUGGAAUUCCCAGUGUAGAGGUGAAAUUCGUAGAUAUUGGGAAGAACACCGGUGGCGAAGGCGGCGACCUGGUUCAUAACUGACGCUGAGGCGCGAAAGCGUGGGGAGCAAACAGGAUUAGAUACCCGAGUAGUCCCUGUCUCUUAUAA